UCUUUGCACAGUUGCUGCUUAUUCUAGUUUUACAUUUUCAGCCAGAAAGAUACCCUUUAUACAUGAGUAAUUGAGAAAGCUGGGAAUUCCACAGUUUGAUACGACUUCUCACUUAUUGUGAUGCUUAGACUGUGCAAUUUCAUUAAAAUAUGUAGAGUUCAAGUUCCGAGCAUAAUACCUACCUGCAAAGUCCCCACAGAGCUCAUCUUGCAGUAAGCCUAAAUGAAAGCUUUGCUGAUUUCAACAUCAUAUUGAGAUGCAUCUUUCCCUGUAAAUGCUGACUGCCAAACCAAAAGCUAAUGCCUCUGUAUUGCUUUUUCACUCAUUUUUUCUAGGCUAAUUUCAUGUCACGAAACCUGGAAAACAUGAAGUCUAACUGUAAUGUAUAUAGUUAUAUCUUUGCUGCUGAGCUAAUGAUUGGAGGUUGAGAUAUAAAUGCUAAGCUGUUAAAACUGGCUCAUAUUUACAAGAGGAGGAGAUUAAAGUGUCAGCAGGAAAAACAGAAGGGAGGAGUGUGAAAACUUGCUUUAAAACACACAAACAAAAACCCACCCAACUGAAAAAGAACUCGGAAGACCUUUUAUGAAGUAUAUUCAUUAUCUUCUGCAUAAAUGUGAAAAGUUGAAAAUAAUUAGAAAAGUGUGUGACUUCAAUGUAUUUCCACUUUUUGGAGGGAAACAUUGUGUAGGCAUCAUUUUUGUAACCACACCAAAUGUUAAUUCAAUUGAUACUAUAAGAAAUAAACAGGCUGCUUCUGACUCGAGGUGCAUCUUUGCAGGAAAAUAUUUCUGUAUGUUUUGUAUCAGUAUGUUUGGGUCUUUACCCAUGCAGGCAGAAUGCAUUUACAUUUGGGACUCUGUACUUUGGCGUGUCUUGGCAUGGUAGAGAUGCAAAUAAGUGUCUACAGAAUGCUCAUUUUGAAUACAGAUGGUCUGAAGUUUCAAAAACAGCAAUUGUAGCUGGCAGCUCUGGGAUAUUUUGGAGACUCUCGUGUUUUCGGGGGGAAGGGUACUCUGCACUGUAGUAUUUGAAAAACAGAACCUUUAGCUUCCAAAUGAUUGUCCAAAUGACUAGUGAUUUAUAAAGUUUAGGUCUAUGAUUUUUUGAUCAGGACUUUCUCAAGCACUGAGAAGCUCCAAGACCACUUCCUUUUAGACCCUAAUUUUGGGUGCCUGUGUGCCAGCUUUGCAAGGCUGAUGUCAGUAUUACAUAAGUAACAAAAAUCUGGCUGUGUGUUUGAUCUACGUAGAUUUUGAGCCACUUCAAACUACUUGUCACUUUUUCAUUGUGGGGUGAAAUCUUGACUUCUGAUGGCAAAUGGUGUCCUGAAUUAGAUGAGUGAUAAGAAGCCACAUAGAAAAAUGAUGACAGUAGUAGUGAAACGUGCUUGAUUUUUCUACCUGUGCUCAUUUGCAAGAUUUUUCUUUCCUUAUCUGUUUGCUUAAUUGAUUGUGUAACAGGAUGGUUCCUGGGAGACAUCGACAGAAAACUGCCGACUCUACCCACUCAGUCUGCGAUGUCACGGAAGUGGCAUUGUGGUACUUUAUCACUUCACUUCUUGGACAGGAGAGCAGAAGUUUGCUGUAGCUCUCUGCUGAAAGUAAUCCACUCUUAAUUUUGUAUUUUAUUGAUGUCCUAUUUUUUCUUUCAUUAGGCUAGGGCAGUAGAGAGCUGUAUGAAGUUCAUUGUAUGGAGCACACAUGACUAAUAUGGGUGGCCAAGGUCAGAGCCUCAGAUGUCUUGUUCUCUCUAUCAACACCUUUUCUGUACUGCUGGCUGAAGCUUUCCUCUAGAGCUGCACUGUACAGAGCUAUGAAACAACCCACUCCUAGGGGAAAUUACUUUAUUUCGCAAGAUGGUUCAGGUUCAGCACUGAUGGUCUUCUCUUGCUGCCAGGUCCCUUGUCCCUCUGCAGUUCUCCUAGGUUACAAGCACAUUGACCGUACUUUGCUCUGGGGGUGGUGGACCUUUAUGCUUUGUUCUGUCUUCUGGUUUCACCUUUUGGGAUACCAUACAGGCUGUCUCGAAGGGUGGACUAUUUCAUUUUACAUAGGUCGUUGUUCUGUGACAUACUAGGGUUUGGUUUAAAUCUGUUUGCCUUCUAAUAAUGUUCCCUAUGCUGAAAACUCAGGAAACUGUUGAUAUUUCAACUUUGCAGGCUGCAAGUGAGUGGGAUCUAACCUCAAUUUAAUUGCCACUGCUUAAAAAUUCCUUUAGCAAAUGCAGUCUUGGUUCUGCAAAAGUCAGAUGAGGUAAUGCCAAAAACGCAGUUUGAUGUUAGUCAAUUGAAAUAAGACAUGAUUGUAGAUGUUCAGUUUCUGAUCAGUGGUAAUAAAGUAAAAGAAAAUUA